CACUACUGUUAAAUAGGCAGAGCUAAGACUUAGGGGACUGGCAGACUAUUGCAAAAAGGGCACGGGGCAGAGGGACUAUGUUGUGAGCCUGCGAAAGAAGUUUGUGUGGGGACUGUGGGCAGUGAACGCGUUGGGAACAAUAUGGAAAACUGGGAGCCGCCUUGGAAUCUACAGGGCCGGGCUGAAGAAAAGAAGAAUGGUAUUCACGCAGUUCCCAUUUUACAGAUGAAAACAAGAGGACUUUUUCUGUGAAGUCAAGAAAGUGGUUACAAUGGUACUUUCAGCCUGUCCGAAUUAUGUAUUGCCCCUCCCCUUUUUAUUAAUAACAUUGAAGUGUGAUGGGACAACCACUGAAGCCGUCAGUUGAAACCUGCUGGGACUUUUUAGCCAUUCUCUUCAACAUAAAGAAUGGGUGUUUUUGGAGGGGGUGAGAGGAAUGGGGAAAUGUUGUCAAAGAGUACAAUGUUUUAGUUGAGACAGGAAGAAUAUAUUUUGUUGAGAUCUACAGCACAGCAUGGUGACUGUAGUUAACAAUGAAGUAUUGUGUAUUUCCAAAUUGCUAAGACAAUAAAUUUCAAAUGUUCUCACCACAAAAAAGAUAGGUUUUGAGGUGAUGAAUCUAUUAA
rnacentral:lncRNA from 1 species